rnacentral:rRNA from 1 species
UACGUAGGGUCCGAGCGUUGUCCGGAAUUACUGGGCGUAAAGCGUGCGCAGGCGGUUUUGUAAGUCUGACGUGAAAUCCCCGGGCUCAACCUGGGAAUUGCGUUGGAGACUGCAAGGCUGGAGUCUGGCAGAGGGGGGUAGAAUUCCACGUGUAGCAGUGAAAUGCGUAGAGAUGUGGAGGAACACCGAUGGCGAAGGCAGCCCCCUGGGUCAAGACUGACGCUCAUGCACGAAAGCGUGGGGAGCAAACAGG